ACACUCGAACUCUCCACACUGACCAUGAAGCUGCUCCUCAUCUUUGCCCUGCUCGUGGUGGCCGCCCAGGCCAAGAUCUGUAGGGAAUGCUACAACAACAAGUGCGAGUAUGGCUUUCAGAUUGGCAGUGACAGAUGUCCAUUGUGUGAAUUAUGCAACCCACAUCCCGUUGGGCAUGCUCUACCUGAGAGCUGCAGUAACAGGCCCAUGUGCCAGAUGCACUGCGAGUUCGGCUUCCAGAAAGGAGAUGACGGCUGUCUGAUCUGCAAAUGCAACGAAGGAGCACCAGACUGCAGGAGCUACCCAAAGUGCUUGAUGUAUUGUUUCAAGGGUACCGUCAAAGGCCUUGACGGAUGUCCCCUCUGCAAGUGCAAGGGAAGACGAACGGAACGAAUUCAGUAACCAGAAACAGAUAGCGAGCAAUAAGUUUCCAUUGUAACCUUAUGCUGAGUAUUGAAUAAAGAUUAAGUGCUCAAUCGUUCAUACAUUUA